CGCAUCUGUGCAUGCAGCAUAUCAAUAAGCGGAGGAAAAGAAACUAACAAGGAUUCCCCUAGUAACGGCGAGUGAAGCGGGAAGAGCUCAAAUUUGAAAUCUUAAAGGGUUUCCCUUUACGAAUUGUAGUUUAAAGAAGUGUUUUCUGUUGAGGUUUUGGUAAAAGUUCUUUGGAAUAGGACAUCAUAGAGGGUGAGAAUCCCGUAUUUGACCUUUACUUUCAACUUUGUGAUACACUUUCAAAGAGUCGGAUUGUUUGGGAAUGCAGUCCAAAAUGGGUGGUAAAUUUCAUCUAAAGCUAAAUAUUGGCGAGAGACCGAUAGCGAACAAGUACCGUGAGGGAAAGAUGAAAAGAACUUUGAAAAGAGAGUUAAACAGUACGUGAAAUUGUCAAAAGGGAAGCGUUUGACACCAGUGUUGUUUUUCUGCAAAUCAAUUAAAGAACUGUUUAUGCUAAGUUGUUUAGACUUUAUCAGCUAACUGUUUAGUUUUGAGCUUUUCUUUAAUGCACUUUUCAGUUAACAAGUCAACAUCAAUUUCUUUUGCUGUAAAAAAGCUUGAGGAAGGUGGCUUGAGAUUCGUCUUAAGUGUUUAUAGCCUCUUGCCUAUGCAGUCGGAGAGAUUGAGGUCUGCAGCGUAGAUCCUUCGGGGCUAAAUGCAUUUGUGCUAAGUUAUAACAUUUUAUAGACAACUUGUUGACUAUGAUUUGUCUUGUAGCUUACUCGCUUAUGUUAUUUUACCUACGCUUAGGAUGUUGACAGCAGUAUAGACUGU
rnacentral:rRNA from 1 species